rnacentral:rRNA from 1 species
UACGUAGGGUGCAAGCGUUGUCCGGAAUUAUUGGGCGUAAAGAGCUCGUAGGCGGUCUGUCGCGUCUGCUGUGAAAACUCAGGGCUUAACCCUGAGCUUGCAGUGGGUACGGGCAGACUAGAGGUGCGGUAGGGGAGACUGGAAUUCCUGGGUGUAGCGGUGAAAUGCGCAGAUAUCAGGAGGAACACCGGUGGUGUAGACGGCUCACUGGACCG